ACGGGGCUAAACCAUGCACCGAAGCUGCGGCAGCGACGCUGAUGCGUUGUUGGGUAGGGGAGCGUUCUGUAAGCCUGUGAAGGUGGCCUGUGAGGGUUGCUGGAGGUAUCAGAAGUGCGAAUGCUGACAUAAGUAACGAUAAAGCGGGUGAAAAGCCCGCUCGCCGGAAGACCAAGGGUUCCUGUCCAACGUUAAUCGGGGCAGGGUGAGUCGACCCCUAAGGCGAGGCCGAAAGGCGUAGUCGAUGGGAAACGGGUUAAUAUUCCCGUACUUGGUGUUACUGCGAAGGGGGGACGGAGAAGGCUAUGUUGGCCGGGCGACGGUUGUCCCGGUUUAAGCGUGUAGGUGUGUGUUCCAGGUAAAUCCGGUUCACUUUAACACUGAGGCGUGAUGACGAGGCACUACGGUGCUGAAGCAACAAAUGCCCUGCUUCCAGGAAAAGCCUCUAAGCAUCAGGUAACAUCAAAUCGUACCCCAAACCGACACAGGUGGUCAGGUAGAGAAUACCAAGGCGCUUGAGAGAACUCGGGUGAAGGAACUAGGCAAAAUGGUGCCGUAACUUCGGGAGAAGGCACGCUGACAC
rnacentral:rRNA from 1 species